CACGUAGGGCGCAAGCGUUGUCCGGAAUUAUUGGGCGUAAAGAGCUCGUAGGUGGUUUGCCACGUCCGCUGUGAAAUCCCAAGGCUUAACCUUGGGCUUGCAGUGGAUACGGGCAGACUAGAGGUAGGUAGGGGAGAAUGGAAUUCCCGGUGUAGCGGUGAAAUGCGCAGAUAUCGGGAGGAACACCGGUGGCGAAGGCGGGUCUCUGGGCCGAUACUGACGCUGAGGAGCGAAAGCGUGGGGAGCGAACAGG
rnacentral:rRNA from 1 species